rnacentral:rRNA from 1 species
UGAAUACGAGAUGCUACGGCGUCGAAGCAGUCUAUGUCAUACUUCCAAGAAAAGCUUGCACUGUCAUAAACAAAUAAUGCCUGUACCAUAACCGACACAGGUGGGUAGGUAGAGUAUACUAAGGGGCGCGAGAUAACUCUCUCUAAGGAACUCGGCAAAAUGACUCCGUAACUUCGGGAGAAGGAGUGCCUUAUUUAUAAGGUUGCAAUAACAAGAUCCAAGCAACUGUUUACCAAAAACACAGGUCUCCGCUAAGUCGUAAGACGAUGUAUGGGGGCUGACGCCUGCCCAGUGCCAGAAGGUUAAAGAAGUUGGUUAGCAUCCGCGAAGCUGAUAACUGAAGCCCUGGUGAACGGCGGCCGUAACAAUAACGGUCCUAAGGUAGCGAAAUUCCUUGUCGGGUAAGUUCCGACCCGCACGAAAGGCGUAAUGAUUUGGAUACUGUCUCGGAGAGGGGCUCGGUGAAAUAGACUUGUCUGUGAAGAUGCGGACUACCUGCACCAGGACAGAAAGACCCUAUGAAGCUUUACUGUAACCUGAAAUUGAAAUUGGACUUUACUUGCGCAGUAUAGGUGGGAGGCGUUGAGAAUAUUCUUGCGGGAUUAUUGGAGCCAUCAGUGAGAUACCACUCUUGUAAUGUUAGAUUUCUAACUUUGUAUCAUUAUCUGGUCAAAGAACAGUUUCAGGCGGGCAGUUUGACUGGGGCGGUCGCCUCCUAAACGGUAACGGAGGCGCACAAAGGUUUCCUCUGAACGGGUAGAAAUCGUAUCUAGAGUGUAAAGGCACAAGGAAGCUUGACUGUGAGACCUACAAGUCGAGCAGGGACGAAAGUCGGUCUUAGUGAUCUGACGGUGCUGAGUGGAAAGGCCGUCACUCAACGGAUAAAAGUUACUCUAGGAUAACAGGCUGAUCUCCCCCAAGAGUUCACAUCGACGGGGAGGUUUGGCACCUCGAUGUCGGCUCAUCGCAUCCUGGGGCGGUAGUACGUCCCAAGGGUUGGGCUGUUCGCCCAUGAAAGCGGUACGCGAGCUGGGUUCAGAACGUCGUGAGACAGUUCGGUCCAUAUCCGGUGUAGGCGUUAGAAUAUUGAGAGGAGCCUUCUUUAGUACGAGAGGACCGAGAAGGACAUACCUCUGGUGUACCAGUUAUCGUGCCAACGGUAAACGCUGGGUAGCUAUGUGUGGAGUGGAUAACCGCUGAAAGCAUCUAAGUGGGAAGCCCACCUCAAGAUAAGUAUUCUCAC